rnacentral:rRNA from 1 species
UACAGAGGUCCCAAGCGUUGUUCGGAUUCAUUGGGCGUAAAGGGUGCGUAGGCGGCGCCGUAAGUCGGGCGUGAAAUUUCGGAGCUUAACUCCGAAACUGCAUUCGAUACUGCGGUGCUCGAGGACUGGAGAGGAGACUGGAAUUCAUGGUGUAGCAGUGAAAUGCGUAGAGAUCAUGAGGAAGACCAGUGGCGAAGGCGGGUCUCUGGACAGUUCCUGACACUGAGGCACGAAGGCCAGGGGAGCAAACGGG